rnacentral:rRNA from 1 species
GACGAACGCUGGCGGCGUGCUUAACACAUGCAAGUCGAACGGAAAGGCCCUGCUUUUGUGGGGUGCUCGAGUGGCGAACGGGUGAGUAACACGUGAGUAACCUGCCCUUGACUUUGGGAUAACUUCAGGAAACUGGGGCUAAUACCGGAUAGGAGCUCCUGCUGCAUGGUGGGGGUUGGAAAGUUUCGGCGGUUGGGGAUGGACUCGCGGCUUAUCAGCUUGUUGGUGGGGUAGUGGCUUACCAAGGCUUUGACGGGUAGCCGGCCUGAGAGGUGGACCGGCCACAUUGGGACUGAGAUACGGCCCAGACGCCUACGGGAGGCAGCAGUGGGGAAUAUGGCACAAUGGGCGGAAGUCUGAUGCAGCAACGCCGCGUGCGGGAUGACGGCCUUCGGGUUGUAAACCGCUUUCGCCUGUGACGAAGCGUGAGUGACGGUAAUGGGUAAAGAAGCACCGGCUAACUACGUG